CCUACGGGGGGCUGCAGUGGGGAAUAUUGGACAAUGGGGGGAACCCUGAUCCAGCCAUGCCGCGUGUGUGAAGAAGGCCCUCGGGUUGUAAAGCACUUUCAGUGAGGAAGAACGCCUGGUGGUUAAUACCCAUCAGGAAAGACAUCACUCACAGAAGAAGCACCGACUAACUCCGUGCCAGCAGCCGCGGUAAUACGGAGGGUGCGAGCGUUAAUCGGAAUUACUGGGCGUAAAGCGCGCGUAGGUGGCUUGAUAAGCCGGUUGUGAAAGCCCCGGGCUCAACCUGGGAACGGCAUCCGGAACUGUCAAGCUAGAGUGCAGGAGAGGAAGGUAGAAUUCCCGGUGUAGCGGUGAAAUGCGUAGAGAUCGGGAGGAAUACCAGUGGCGAAGGCGGCCUUCUGGACUGACACUGACACUGAGGUGCGAAAGCGUGGGUAGCAAACAGGAUUAGAUACCCCGGUAGUC
rnacentral:rRNA from 1 species